rnacentral:rRNA from 1 species
UGGCGAACGGGUGAGUAAUACAUCGGAACGUGUCCGUUUGUGGGGGACAACCACCCGAAAGGGUGGCUAAUACCGCAUAAGACCUGAGGGUGAAAGCCGGGGACCGCAAGGCCUGGCGCGAACGGAGCGGCCGAUGACUGAUUAGCUGGUUGGCGGGGUAAAGGCCCACCAAGGCGACGAUCAGUAGCUGGUCUGAGAGGACGACCAGCCACACUGGAACUGAGACACGGUCCAGACUCCUACGGGAGGCAGCAGUGGGGAAUUUUGGACAAUGGGGGCAACCCUGAUCCAGCCAUGCCGCGUGCGGGAAGAAGGCCUUCGGGUUGUAAACCGCUUUUGUCAGGGACGAAAAGGUGCGGGUUAAGAGCUAGCACUGAUGACGGUACCUGAAGAAUAAGCACCGGCUAACUACGUGCCAGCAGCCGCGGUAAUACGUAGGGUGCGAGCGUUAAUCGGAAUUACUGGGCGUAAAGCGUGCGCAGGCGGUUGGGUAAGACAGAUGUGAAAUCCCCGGGCUUAACCUGGGAACUGCAUUUGUGACUGUCCGACUGGAGUAUGUCAGAGGGGGGUGGAAUUCCAAGUGUAGCAGUGAAAUGCGUAGAUAUUUGGAAGAACACCGAUGGCGAAGGCAGCCCCCUGGGGCAAAACUGACGC